rnacentral:rRNA from 1 species
AUGAGAUGCGUCCUCUCCGGCUCCAACUACCGCUCGCAGCCGCUGCUGUCCGAGGCCGAGCCGGCCUCGGGGUACUGGGUCAUCAGCUCCAGCGGCACCGCCCUCCGUUGCCUGACCAUCGAACGCCUCCGUCCUGGCCUCCAUGACCCUCUCACCGGAGCCGCCGCACGCCUGCCUCUACUGCCGCAAUCCCUCGGCCUGUGGGGGAAGGAGAUCCAUCCCCACGGAGUCAUCUACGGCGACGGCGCAACCCUUCUCUACAGCAUCUCCACGACAGGCCCACGGCCAGGUUCAGGGCGGCUCUACUUCGCCCCGGGGACGCAGAGUGGGCAAUCCUCGAGAGGACGCUCGAGCAUCAGCUUCGCUACAGAGGCUGGCCACCUCCUCAACCUGUUCUGUCGUCUGUCACAUACCACGACGAUGGUAAGAUCCUGGCCGUCAUGGAGGCUGACCAAUGGUGGCGCCCCGUCACACCAAACAGCAAUAUCGCCCCUGGUGAGCUUGCCGAGAGCCGGGGGAAGCCCGUGGUGCAGGUGUGGUUUGGCCAAUCCACCUCCAAUUACAACUACAUCCUUGAGUCCCGUGGCGAGAUUCUUUGGGUGUCUAUUAACACCCGGGAACAUGACAGGUAUCUCAUAG